rnacentral:rRNA from 1 species
ACGCUCGACACCUACGGGAAGGCAGCAGUGGGGAAUAUUGCACAAUGGGGGAAACCCUGAUGCAGCAACGCCGCGUGAAGGAAGACGGUUUUCGGAUUGUAAACUUCUGUUCUUAGUGAAGAUAGUGACGGUAGCUAAGGAGCAAGCCACGGCUAACUACGUGCCAGCAGCCGCGGUAAUCUGAGGCGGGCUGGCAAGGC